CCGUCGGCGUCAUCGAGAUCGCGACGAGAUGGGACAUCGCAGCACCAUCCUUUGCGGAUCGAGAGUUGUCGGACCCCACUGGAACGACGCCAGGCGGCAUUCCCGCCGCACCCAUGAACGUGUGGAAGUGCGCGUAGUCGGAAUGAUCCCGGCCGGCCGGAGCGUGGGCGUGGAAAAAAAACUGCGCGUGGGUAUUUGGGUCGCGCACGUCGUCGGGAGGAUAGUGCUCCCACUCGACAAACUCCUGGCUGCCGCGCAGCGCCUCAACGAUCAGGUUGCUGCCA
rnacentral:misc_RNA from 1 species